UACAGAGGUCUCAAGCGUUGUUCGGACUCAUUGGGCGUAAAGGGUGCGUAGGCGGCGCGGUAAGUCGGGUGUGAAAUCUUGGAGCUUAACUCCGAAACUGCAUUCGAUACUGCCGUGCUUGAGGACUGGAGAGGAGACUGGAAUUUACGGUGUAGCGGUGAAAUGCGUAGAUAUCGUAAGGAAGACCAGUGGCGAAGGCGGGUCUCUGGACAGUUCCUGACGCUGAGGCACGAAGGCCAGGGGAGCAAACGGG
rnacentral:rRNA from 1 species